UACCCUGUGUUGUUUUCAACGCAGAGAUUGUCCAGGCGCCGGAUCUGAGACAGUACUUAUCACAUCGGUACGACUGGGUCUCAGCCGGUCAGCUCAUGGGUGGAACAUUGACAUUGGUGCGGAGCCGAACGGCUCGAACUUAGUACGCCUGCUUGCAGGAAGGAACAGUUCGGACCGGGGAGCCUCGCACAUGCACGCUGUUGGGUCCUGAGGGACCGGACCUCAUCGCUGUGUCUUCAAGACGCUGAGAUGAGAACCGAAUCCUCUGGACCUUUUUUGGUCGGCCAUAACUGGGCCGGCGGAAAAGGUACCGCCCGUACUUUGAGAACUACACAGUGGACGCGAGCAUCUUAGAUUCGGACCUUCGGGUUCGGAUCACAAAAGAUGAUCAUAGUACUUUCGAGUACUGAUUAGAUCAUUGGUCAAUCUGCUCACUUC
rnacentral:misc_RNA from 1 species